GGCGCCCACGAGAGGAUCCCUCACCCGGGUCUCUCCUCAGGGAUGACAUCAUCCGUCCACCUCCUUGUCUUCAAGGACCACCUCCUCUCCAUGCUGAGCUGCUGCCAAGGGGCCUGCUGCCCAUCUACACCUCACGAGGGCACUAGGAGCACGGUUUCCUGGAUCCCACCAACAUACAAAGCAGCCACUCACUGACCCCCAGGACCAGGAUGGCAAAGGAUGAAGAGGACCGGAACUGACCAGCCAGCUGUCCCUCUUACCUAAAGACUUAAACCAAUGCCCUAGUGAGGGGGCAUUGGGCAUUAAGCCCUGACCUUUGCUAUGCUCAUACUUUGACUCUAUGAGUACUUUCCUAUAAGUCUUUGCUUGUGUUCACCUGCUAGCAAACUGGAGUGUUUCCCUCCCCAAGGGGGUGUCAGUCUUUGUCGACUGACUCUGUCAUCACCCUUAUGAUGUCCUGAAUGGAAGGAUCCCUUUGGGAAAUUCUCAGGAGGGGGACCUGGGCCAAGGGCUUGGCCAGCAUCCUGCUGGCAACUCCAAGGCCCUGGGUGGGCUUCUGGAAUGAGCAUGCUACUGAAUCACCAAAGGCACGCCCGACCUCUCUGAAGAUCUUCCUAUCCUUUUCUGGGGGAAUGGGGUCGAUGAGAGCAACCUCCUAGGGUUGUUGUGAGAAUUAAAUGAGAUAAAAGAGGCCUCAGGCAGGAUCUGGCAUAGAGGAGGUGAUCAGCAAAUGUUUGUUGAAAAGGUUUGACAGGUCAGUCCCUUCCCACCCCUCUUGCUUGUCUUACUUGUCUUAUUUAUUCUCCAACAGCACUCCAGGCAGCCCUUGUCCACGGGCUCUCCUUGCAUCAGCCAAGCUUCUUGAAAGGCCUGUCUACACUUGCUGUCUUCCUUCCUCACCUCCAAUUUCCUCUUCAACCCACUGCUUCCUGACUCGCUCUACUCCGUGGAAGCACGCUCACAAAGGCACGUGGGCCGUGGCCCGGCUGGGUCGGCUGAAGAACUGCGGAUGGAAGCUGCGGAAGAGGCCCUGAUGGGGCCCACCAUCCCGGACCCAAGUCUUCUUCCUGGCGGGCCUCUCGUCUCCUUCCUGGUUUGGGCGGAAGCCAUCACCUGGAUGCCUACGUGGGAAGGGACCUCGAAUGUGGGACCCCAGCCCCUCUCCAGCUCGAAAUCAGUUUGCCCUGCCCCCCAUUCCAACGUGGGCUGCUGCUUCUCCCCAGCGGGUUGUAGCUGGCAGGGCCGUUGUGCUUUGGGGUUUGCUGUACCUGUCGCUGCCGUGAGGGGACGAUCUGUCUGCCCGGAGGGGUUUCUGCAAACAUUCAUCCUCCACAGCCACGGGGACACCCUGCACCUAUUCCCACGGGACAGGCUGGACCCAGAGACUCUGGACCCGGGGCCUCCCCUUGAGUAGAGACCCGCCCUCUGACUGAUGGACGCCGCUGACCUGGGGUCAGACCCGUGGGCUGGACCCCUGCCCACCCCGCAGGAACCCUGAGGCCUAGGGGAGCUGUUGAGCCUUCAGUGUCUGCAUGUGGGAAGUGGGCUCCUUCACCUACCUCACAGGGCUGUUGUGAGGGGCGCUGUGAUGCGGUUCCAAAGCACAGGGCUUGGCGCACCCCACUGUGCUCUCAAUAAAUGUGUUUCCUGUCUUAACAAAAA
ensembl:lncRNA MEG3 maternally expressed 3